UACGUAGGGUGCAAGCGUUAUCCGGAUUCACUGGGUUUAAAGGGUGCGUAGGAGGGCAGGUAAGUCAGUGGUGAAAUCUCCGAGCUUAACUCGGAAACUGCCGUUGAUACUAUCUUUCUUGAAUACCGUGGAGGUGAGCGGAAUAUGUCAUGUAGCGGUGAAAUGCGUAGAUAUCGAGAGGAACACCUGCGGCGAAGGCGGGUUGCUGGGCUGACACUGACGCUGAGGCGCGAAAGCUAGGGGAGCGAACGGG
rnacentral:rRNA from 1 species